GGAUGUGAGGGCGAUCUGGCUGCGAUAUCUGUCACUCCAUUGAUUUGGCUGAUCUGGCUGUCUAGGCGUGUGUCCCCUUCCUCACUGCUCCAUGUUCAUCCCUCCCAAAGCUGCAUACUCUGUCAAAGAGGACAGCCUUCCCCAAGUCAGAGACGGACCCAUCUUCAGUAGAGGGUAUAUAAGUAGUAGUGCUCCUAUGCUAGAACCUUCAAAUAAGCUCUCAAAAGAAUAGCAUUACUGUUCAUUUCAUUUAGUUAAGUGGGCACUCUGUCAUG
ensembl:misc_RNA 7SK 7SK RNA